UACGAAGGGGGCUAGCGUUGCUCGGAAUCACUGGGCGUAAAGGGUGCGUAGGCGGGUUUUUAAGUCAGAGGUGAAAUCCUGGAGCUCAACUCCAGAACUGCCUUUGAUACUGAGAAUCUUGAGUAUGGGAGAGGUGAGUGGAACUGCGAGUGUAGAGGUGAAAUUCGUAGAUAUUCGCAAGAACACCAGUGGCGAAGGCGGCUCACUGGACCGGUAUUGACGCUGAGGUGCGAAAGCGUGGGGAGCAAACAGG
rnacentral:rRNA from 1 species